rnacentral:rRNA from 1 species
UACGUAGGGUGCAAGCGUUGUCCGGAAUUAUUGGGCGUAAAGAGCUCGUAGGCGGCUUGUCGCGUCGGAUGUGAAAGCCCGGGGCUUAACUCCGGGUCUGCAUUCGAUACGGGCAGGCUAGAGUUCGGUAGGGGAGAUCGGAAUUCCUGGUGUAGCGGUGAAAUGCGCAGAUAUCAGGAGGAACACCGGUGGCGAGGGCGGAUCUCUGGGCCGAUACUGACGCUGAGGAGCGAAAGCGUGGGGAGCGAACAGG